rnacentral:rRNA from 1 species
GACGAACGCUGGCGGCGUGCUUAACACAUGCAAGUCGAACGGAAAGGCCCUGCUUUUGUGGGGUGCUCGAGUGGCGAACGGGUGAGUAACACGUGAGUAACCUGCCCUUGACUUUGGGAUAACUUCAGGAAACUGGGGCUAAUACCGGAUAGGAGCUCCUGCUGCAUGGUGGGGGUUGGAAAGUUUCGGCGGUUGGGGAUGGACUCGCGGCUUAUCAGCUUGUUGGUGGGGUAGUGGCUUACCAAGGCUUUGACGGGUAGCCGGCCUGAGAGGGUGACCGGCCACAUGGGGACGACGAUUCGGCCCGGCACCUACGGGAGGCAGCAGUGGGGAAUAUUGCACAAUGGGCGGAAGCCUGAUGCAGCAACGCCGCGUGCGGGAUGACGGCCUUCGGGUUGUAAACCGCUUUCGCCUGUGACGAAGCGUGAGUGACGGUAAUGGGUAAAGAAGCACCGGCUAACUACGUG